GACUGCAGAUGAUUUUGUGAAGUCCGGAGACAACGGACCUCGAAGCUCUCCCAGAUUGGAAAGAACCCGACUCAGGGGCUUAAGAUUCUCUGAAGGAAAGCUCUCUCCCCUGCAAGGAUCGGGGACCUGCUUCUCGGGGUCCAGAGCAGACCAGAACAAGUCCCCCAGAGCGGGCUGGCCGCACUCCAUGUCUUCGCCUAUUGCAUUCCCCACACGCACUUGGCAUCGUGACUCCAGGCUCCGUGGGACCCGUGCAACCUGUGACUUGCCACUGCACUUGGGAAGUGAAGGCCGGAUGAGGAAGAGACAAGGCCAGUGACCCAAGCAUUUGGCUCUGCAGCCGGGGUUCAGGACUCUUACAAGAGACAAGCACGCCCCAGAGAAGAGCCUAGAUCCAGGCCUCCCCCAGAUCGUCCCUGUGAAGAGGAAGCUAGACGGGGCAGCCUGGGUUUCUCUCCUUCGAGGAAACAGCAUUGCCACCACUCUUUUCAGCCUGGGUCCCCUCUCUUCCACAACACCCCAGGGACCAGUCAGUCAAGCUCUGCAAACAUCAUUGUCCUUCCAGACAAGGUGGUUUGCUGCCGCCGGUGUCUCUCCUGGCCAGGUCUUUUCCAGAACCGGAUUCCCUGGCCACCGAGUCAGGCCUUGCUGCCACAGACAAGGGAACUAAGACCUGAAGAGACAAAGUAGCGUCCCUCCUCCCUCCCCCUCCCUCCCCCUCCCCCCCUCCCCCUUCUCCCCCUCCUCCCCCUCCUCCUCCUCUCCUCAAGUGUGUUUCCUACAAAAUAGCUUCCAGGGAAGCUCCGCAAAAAGUAAAAGUGGGAGGAGACAAGAGAGUGGGUAGAGCCCAGAGGAUCUGCGCUCAAAUAAAUUUUGGAAAGUCUAAAUAUUACGUCACCCUCUUGGAUAUUCAUAACAU